AGUCAUAACAAGGUUUCAUACCGUGACAGAUCCUUCUGCACACUUCGGAGACCAUGCAACCCUCUUGGGAGGUAGCGCGACUAUAAACACGCUGCCGCUUGCAAGUUGGUACGUCAGCAACACGAUCGAAUUGCGGGGACCUCCUAAAGCUCUCACCACCAUACCACCACCGAAAGGUGAUGGCGACCGGUAAAAGUGUGAGAGAUGUACAAUGGACGAUCCGCAGCGAAGACCCUAAGGCUCCGGCUACGGGUAGCGUUCACAGACUAGGUGAUUGUGGGCAGCACUGCUGUCUAAGAUAUAGUCGGGCCCGCAGCGAAAGUUGCGGUGAAUUAGCGUCCGUAGGUGAACCCGCGGAAGGAUCAUUACAGAGUUCAUGCCCUUACGGGUAGAUCUCCCACCCUUGAAUAUUAUACCUUUGUUGCUUUGGCGGGCCCGCUCACGCCACCGGCUUCGGCUGGUGAGUGCCCGCCAGAGGACCCCAAAUUCUGAAUUACAGUGUCGUCUGAGUACUAUAUAAUAGUUAAAACUUUCAACAACGGAUCUCUUGGUUCUGGCAUCGAUGAAGAACGCAGCGAAAUGCGAUAAGUAAUGUGAAUUGCAGAAUUCAGUGAAUCAUCGAAUCUUUGAACGCACAUUGCGCCCCUUGGUAUUCCGGGGGGCAUGCCUGUUCGAGCGUCAUUAUAACCCUCAAGCCUAGCUUGGUAUUGGGGCCUGCCCCCGGGCAGCCCUUAAAAUCAGUGGCGGUGCCGUCUGGCUCUAAGCGUAGUAAUUUCUCUCGCUAUAGCGUCCGGCGGUUGCUGNCCAAAACCCCCAAUUUUCUAUGGUUGACCUCGGAUCAGGUAGGGAUACCCGCUGAACUUAAGCAUAUCAAUAAGCGGAGGAAAAGAAACCAACAGGGAUUACCUCAGUAACGGCGAGUGAAGCGGUAACAGCUCAAAUUUGAAAUCUGGCUCUUUUAGAGUCCGAGUUGUAAUUUGUAGAAGAUGCUUCGGGUGUGGCUCCGGUCUAAGUUCCUUGGAACAGGACGUCAUAGAGGGUGAGAAUCCCGUAUGUGACUGGUUGCCUUCGCCUAUGUGAAGCUCUUUCGACGAGUCGAGUUGUUUGGGAAUGCAGCUCUAAAUGGGUGGUAAAUUUCAUCUAAAGCUAAAUAUUGGCCAGAGACCGAUAGCGCACAAGUAGAGUGAUCGAAAGAUGAAAAGCACUUUGAAAAGAGAGUUAUACAGUAUGUGAAAUUGUUGAAAGGGAAGCGCUUGCAACCAGACUUGCGUGUAGCGGUUCCCCCAGUCUUUUGACCGGGCUAUUCCGUUAUAUCCAGGCCAGCAUCGGUUCGGGUGGUUGGUUAAAGGUCUUGGGAAUGUAUCUACCUCCGGGUCGACUUAUAGCCCAGGGCGUAAUGCAGCCUACCUGGACCGAGGAACGCGCUUUUGCUCGGAUGCUGGCGUAAUGGUUGUAAGCGGCC
rnacentral:rRNA from 1 species